rnacentral:rRNA from 1 species
UUAUAUUUGUAGCAAUACAGAUAUAACUUAGUGGCAGACGGGUGAGUAACACGUAGGUAACCUACCCUCGAGCGGGGGGCAACUCAGGGAAACUUGGGCUAAUACCGCAUAAGACCACGGACUGGGAUGUUUGUGGGAAAAGGAGCAAUCCACUUGGGGAUGGGCCUGCGGCCUAUCAGGUAGUUGGUGGGGUAAAGGCCUACCAAGCCAGAGACGGGUAGCCGGUCUGAGAGGACGAACGGCCACACUGGAACUGAGACACGGUCCAGACUCCUACGGGAGGCAGCAGUGGGGAAUUUUGCACAAUGGGCGAAAGCCUGAUGCAGCGACGCCGCGUGGAGGACGAAGGCCUUCGGG